CAGACUGGGCCUCAGGAGUGAUGGUGAGGAGGAGGAAGGCUCUUCUGACGGGGCCACUGCGCUCAGGAAUGCUGGACGCUGGUGCAGAAGCAAACAAAUGCUACGGAGCACCUGCCCUGCGCCACACUUUACACGUGUGCAACACAGCAGACCUGGCUGAUGGAGCUCACCCGGCCAGUGCUGCGGGGACUCGGCUGAGGCACCGAAUGCCUGACUGAGAUCGCUGGCCGCCAACAUCCACCAUCCUGUUCAACAGAAACAUACGACUCUUAGAGGGAAAAGGACAUGGAAAUCAGCACUCUUUAGACAAUGAAGAACCACUGGAUGUGUCCUGGCAAAGGAGGUACAGAAUGACUUGAGAUGCACCACAACUCUAAAUGCCCUGUGAUGGAGAGGGCCAUUAAUGCCCUAAGAGAUACAACCCCUCUUAGCAAUAACACAUUUAGGAAUCCAUCUGGGGACUUCCAAGCCUGGACGGACAGAUUCUAAUGGAUCACGCUGGGAGACAGUCUUACCGAAAGAUGAUGUUUUCCAAGUCAAACGGAUACUCAAUGAUGCCGGUUGUGGGCACUCGGACACGAAGCACGUCCUGCUGUGUUGGCACGAAUGACGGCAUGGCGAUCCGGUCAAUGUCAGUCAGGUUCCAUCAGUGACUUUCUUGAGAGCCACCACUCCAGCCCUCCUACGACCAUUGUGGAGAGGACACAGGUCAGAAGACACAGGUGAGCCUUCCAGGAAACCUGCAGAUCUCGUCCUCUCUUCCUCCUGGUCCUGAGCUCCAUGAGUCUCAGGCUGGUGAGGGAGCCAGCGGGCCAGGAGGAGGAGGAGGGUGGAAUGGGCUCUCUGACAUCUCAUCUGUCCUCUUCCUCCCACAAGCCCUCAUCCAAGAACAUGAUGGGAUGUAGGUGCUGUUCUUGAACACUGUUUUCAAUGAAUUCGAAUUUUGAAGAAAAUAUAAAGGCAUGCAACAGGCCAAGGGGAAGUCCUCUCAAAAUAAGAAAAAGUUUGUUUCACUGGAGGAUUAAACAUCUCCUAACAUCACCCAGAACUUGUCUUGGAUGAUUAGGGGAUCGAUCACUGUAAUGGUUCUUUAAUUUUUUUUUCCUGCAGGUUCUACCAAUAGGUAGGGUAUAUGGAACGCAAACAGAAGCAUGUUCUAUGCUACU